rnacentral:rRNA from 1 species
CAAGUCGAACGAGAAAGGGGAGCAAUCCCUGAGUAAAGUGGCGUACGGGUGAGUAACACGUGGAUAAUCUACCCUCUAGUGGGGAAUAACCCUGGGAAACCGGGGAUAAUACCGCAUAAGCUCGAGAGAGGAAAGCAGCAAUGCGCUGGAGGAGGAGUCCGCGGCCGAUUAGCUAGUUGGCAGGGUAAAAGCCUACCAAGGCAGAGAUCGGUAGCCGGCCUGAGAGGGCACACGGCCACACUGGCACUGAAACACGGGCCAGACUCCUACGGGAGGCAGCAGUGGGGAAUCUUGCACAAUGGGGGAAACCCUGAUGCAGCGACGCCGCGUGAGCGAUGAAGCCCUUCGGGGUGUAAAGCUCUUUCGGCAGGGAAGAUUAUGACGGUACCUGCAGAAGCAGCUGCGGCUAACUACGUGCCAGCAGCCGCGGUAAUACGUAGGCAGCGAGCGUUGUUCGGAGUUACUGGGCGUAAAGGGUGUGUAGGCGGUUAUUUAAGUUUGGUGUGAAAUCUCCCGGCUCAACCGGGAGGGUGCGCCGAAUACUGAAUGACUAGAGUGCGGGAGAGGUGAGUGGAAUUCCUGGUGUAGCGGUGAAAUGCGUAGAUAUCAGGAGGAACACCGGUGGUGUAGACGGCUCACUGGACCGUAACUGACGCUGAGACACGAAAGCGUGGGUAGCAAACAGGAUUAGAUACCCUGGUAGUCCACGCCCUAAACGAUGCAUAUUUGGUGUGGGCAGUUCAUUCUGUCCGUGCCGGA